rnacentral:rRNA from 1 species
AACGAACGCUGGCGGCAUGCCUAACACAUGCAAGUCGAACGAGACCUUCGGGUCUAGUGGCGCACGGGUGCGUAACGCGUGGGAAUCUGCCCUUGGGUCCGGAAUAACUCAGAGAGAUUUGAGCUAAUACCGGAUGAUGACGUAAGUCCAAAGAUUUAUCGCCCAGGGAUGAGCCCGCGUAGGAUUAGCUAGUUGGUGAGGUAAAGGCUCACCAAGGCGACGAUCCAGCUGGUCUGAGAGGAUGAUCAGCCACACUGGGACUGAGACACGGCCCAGACUCCUACGGGAGGCAGCAGUGGGGAAUAUUGGACAAUGGGCGAAAGCCUGAUCCAGCAAUGCCGCGUGAGUGAUGAAGGCCUUUAGGGUUGUAAAGCUCUUUUACCCGGGAUGAUAAUGACAGUACCGGGAGAA